rnacentral:rRNA from 1 species
AGAGUUUGAUCCUGGCUCAGGAUGAACGCUGGCGGCGUGCCUAAUACAUGCAAGUCGAGCGGUAAGGCCUCUUCGGAGGUACACGAGCGGCGGACGGCUGAGUAACGCGUAGGAACGUACCCCAAACUGAGGGAUAAGCACCAGAAAUGGUGUCUAAUACCGCAUGUGCUCUACGGAGUAAAGCUACGGCGGUUUGGGAACGGCCUGCGUCCGAUUAGCUUGUUGGUGAGGUAAUGGCUCACCAAGGCUAUGAUCGGUAGCUGGUCUGAGAGGAUGAUCAGCCAGACUGGGACUGAGAACGGCCCAGACUCCUACGGGAGGCAGCAGUAGGGAAUUUUCCACAAUGGGCGAAAGCCUGAUGGAGCAACGCCGCGUGCAGGAUGAAUGCCUUCGGGUUGUAAACUGCUUUUAUUUGUGACGAAUAUGACGGUAGCAGAUGAAUAAGGAUCGGCUAACUCCGUGCCAGCAGCCGCGGUCAUACGGAGGAUCCGAGCGUUAUCCGGAAUUACUGGGCGUAAAGAGUUGCGUAGGUGGCAUUGUGUGUCGGUAGUGAAAGCGUGUGGCUCAACCAUAUAUACAUUAUCGAAACUGCAAAGCUAGAGGACGAGAGAGGUACCUGGAAUUCCCAGUGUAGGAGUGAAAUCCGUAGAUAUUGGGAGGAACACCGAUGGCGUAGGCAGGGUACUGGCUCGUUCCUGACACUAAGGCACGAAAGCGUGGGGAGCAAACGGGAUUAGAUACCCUAGUAGUCC